GUGAGGGGCAAACAUCUGUCACCCCAUUGAUUGCCAAUGUUGAUUCAGCUGAUCUAGCUGGCUAGACAGGUGUCCCUUUCCUC
rnacentral:sRNA from 1 species